rnacentral:rRNA from 1 species
CAGCAGCCGCGGUAAUACGGAGGGUGCAAGCGUUAUCCGGAUUUAUUGGGUUUAAAGGGUCCGUAGGCGGACUUAUAAGUCAGUGGUGAAAGCCUGUCGCUUAACGAUAGAACUGCCAUUGAUACUGUAAGUCUUGAGUAUAUUUGAGGUAGCUGGAAUAAGUAGUGUAGCGGUGAAAUGCAUAGAUAUUACUUAGAACACCAAUUGCGAAGGCAGGUUACCAAGAUAUAACUGACGCUGAGGGACGAAAGCGUGGGUAGCUAACAGGAUUAGAUACCCCUGUAGUCCCUGUCUCUUAUAC